rnacentral:lncRNA from 1 species
GAGCUCCCGCGGGUGGGGAGGGACACUGGUUGGCCGCUGGGACGGGGACAACGUCAGGCAGCGGCGUAGGGGACGCUGGUUGGCCACUGGAACAUGCUUGGGUGGCAACAGUUUGGGGCAGACACUGGUUGGCCGCUGGGACGGCAUUGGGUGAUGGCACGGUCGUUGGGGACGUUGGUUGGCCAGCGGGAUGGUAGCGCUGGUUGGCCAACGGGAUGGCGCUGAGGGUGCUGGUUGGCCAGUGAGAUGCUGGCGAGGGGGGUGGUUGGCCAAUGGAGGUCUGCGGCUGGUGGCGCUGGAUCUCCAUGGACGUCUCUGGUUGUCCGUGGCUGGUGGCGCUGGGUCUCCAUGGAUGGUGCUGGACAUCCCCGGAGGUCUCUGGUUACCCAUGGAUAGCGAUGAUUGCCCAUGGACGACGCUGGAUGUCCAUGGAUGGUGGCACUAGAUCUCCACGGACGUCUCCGGUUGCCCCAGGACAGUGCUGGACCUCUAUGGAUGUCUCUGGUUGCCCCUGGACGGUGCUAGAUCUCCACAGACGUCUCUGGUUGCCCACAGAUGGUGGCACUAGACCUCCAUGGAGGGUGCUGGACCUCCAUGGACGUCUCUGGUUGCCCCUAGACAGUGCUGGAUCUCCACAGAUGUCUCUAGUCGCCCACAGAUGGUG